rnacentral:rRNA from 1 species
CACUACGUAAAGGGACUGCCGGUGUUAAACCGGAGGAAGGUGGGGAUGACGUCAAGUCCUCAUGGCCUUUAUGACCAGGGCUACACACGUACUACAAUGGCCGAUACAAAGGGCAGCGACACUGCGAGGUGAAGCCAAUCCCGUAAAAUCGGUCUCAGUCCGGAUUGGAGUCUGCAACUCGACUCCAUGAAGUUGGAAUCGCUAGUAAUCGUGGAUCAGCAUGCCACGGUGAAUACGUUCCCGGGCCUU